rnacentral:rRNA from 1 species
GAUGAACGCUGGCGGCGUGCCUAAUACAUGCAAGUCGAGCGAACAGACGAGGAGCUUGCUCCUCUGACGUUAGCGGCGGACGGGUGAGUAACACGUGGAUAACCUACCUAUAAGACUGGGAUAACUUCGGGAAACCGGAGCUAAUACCGGAUAAUAUAUUGAACCGCAUGGUUCAAUAGUGAAAGACGGUUUUCCUGUCACUUAUAGACGGUUCCGCGCCGCAUUAGCUAGUUGGUAAGGUAACGGCUUACCAAGGCAACGAUGCGUAGCCGACCUGAGAGGUUGAUCGGCCACACUGGAACUGAGACACGGUCCAGACUCCUACGGGAGGCAGCAGUAGGGAAUAUUCGGCAAUGGGCGCAAGCCUGACGGAGCAACGCCGCGUGAGUGAUGAAGGUCUUCGGAUUGUAAAGCUCUGUUAUUAGGGAAGAACAAAUGUGUAUGUAACUAUGCACGUCUUGACGGUACCUAAUCAGAAAGCCACGGCUAACUACGUG